CAGGGUUUGAUCCUGGCUCAGGAUGAACGCUGGCUACAGGCUUAACACAUGCAAGUCGAGGGGAAACGGCAUUGAGUGCUUGCACUGAAUGGACGUCGACCGGCGCACGGGUGAGUAACGCGUAUCCAACCUUCCCGUUACUGCGGGAUAACCUGCCGAAAGGCAGACUAAUACCGCAUGUUCUUCGAUGACGGCAUCAGAUUCGAAGCAAAGACUCGUCGGUAACGGAGGGGGAUGCGUCUGAUUAGCUAGUUGGCGGGGCGACGGCCCACCAAGGCNGACGAUCAGUAGGGGUUCUGGAGAGGAAGGUCCCCCACAUUGGAACUGAGACACGGUCCAAACUCCUAACCGGGAGGCAGCAGUGAGGAAUAUUGGUCAAUGGGCGGAAGCCUGAACCAGCCCMAGUAAGCGUGCAGGACGACGGCCCUACGGGUUGUAAACUGCUUUUAUGCGGGGAUAAAGUGAGGGACGUGUCCCUUUUUGCNAGGUACCGCAUGAWUACAGGMCCGGCUAAUUYCGUGCCAGCAGCCGCGGUAAUACGGAAGGUCCGGGCGUUAUCCGGAUUUAUUGGGUUUAAAGGGAGCGUAGGCCGGGGAUUAAGUGUGUUGUGAAAUGUAGGCGCCCAACGUCUGACUUGCAGCGCAUACUGGUUCCCUUGAGUACGCGCAACGCCGGCGGAAUUCGUCGUGUAGCGGUGAAAUGCUUAGAUAUGACGAAGAACCCCGAUUGCGAAGGCAGCCGGCGGGAGCGCAACUGACGCUGAAGCUCGAAGGUGCGGGUAUCGAACAGGAUUAGAUACCCUGGUAGUCCGCACGGUAAACGAUGGAUGCCCGCUGUCGGCGCCUUGCGCCGGCGGCCAAGCGAAAGCGUUAAGCAUCCCACCUGGGGAGUACGCCGGCAACGGUGAAACUCAAAGGAAUUGACGGG
rnacentral:rRNA from 1 species